AGGAUUAUAGUUUAACUAAUAAAACAUUUAAUUUGCAAUUAAAAAUUAUUUUCAAUAAAUUUAUCUUA
rnacentral:tRNA from 1 species